rnacentral:lncRNA from 1 species
UAGGGAAGUAUUUCUUACAUAAAUACUUUUAGAAAGUGAGCCUUUAUUCCAAGAGGCCUUGAAAAGGUGAAAGUAUAAAUAAGGCUAGGGAGGAAAUUCUUAUCCAUCUUUCUCCUGAGAGCUGAUGUGGUAGGAAAGGGGUAGGUAAUGUGUAUAUAUAGCUUCAAAUUUACAUAAAUGCUUUUCUCUUUUGUGAUUCAAUGGUGAACUGUUUAUUGUCAAAUGGAUUGAUUCUAGCGAAGUCUUAUUAUUUGUCUUAGACGAUCAGAAUCAACAGAAUGGCAUGACACUCAGAAACAACUUUCAGCAACAGUGAACCCUGAGAGGGCAAACUUAGAUAGGAUUAAAUGUCAACAUACAGAACUGUUCUCAGCCAAUCUAACAGACUGAAGUCCAACUGAGUCAUUAAUUUAGUAGCACUCAAGCCUUAAAAGCACAAAGCAUAUGCUUAUUAAAGGAACAAAGAUUGAAUUUAGAGAACUGAAAACAGGAAAGGAAACAAUAGGUUUCUUUUCAAUUAACAACUUUUUGGCAGGAUUUAAGCAGUAGAUACAACUUCCUUCAAGCCGUAUCAUUUCCGUGAAUCUAGUUGUAAAGCAAUUUACAACUCUGCAAGAUCACUAGCGUUAAACACCUACUCGCCAGACAGGUACCCUUUCUUUUGUUUCUUUUUCCUUUCUUCAUUUCCUUGACAAUUGGAUAAUAUUCUUAAGUAAUUAACAGAGUAUACAAUUUCUUUCUUAUUUUUGCAACUUCAUCCUUUGAAACCAAGUGAUUAACCAGCCUUGGUAAACUCCCUGCUAUUUCUCCCUUAGGAAUACAGUACGGAUUUCUGGAAAUCUCCUAGCAGGGAAGUACAGCCACACAGGCCUCAGUACCUUGCUGACCGAUGCCUCCUGUUCAACCCCAUCCUCAUUUGCAUUUAUUAUAUUAAGCUGAUAUUGCAGAAGCAGUUGAUUAUCAGGAAAGCCAGCUCAGCGCUGUUUUUGGUGAUGGCGGUGUUUUCUGAGACUGGGUCUUACUAUGCUACAAGUUGGCCUCAUCCAGGCUGGCCUUUGACUCACAAUCCACCUGCCUAAACAUCCAGGGUGCUGGGAUUCCAGGAAUGUGCCACCACGCCUGACAGGUAAGUGUUGGGGAGGGGUGCUGAUCUUUUUCUCUGUUCAUUCUCCUUUCCAAGUUCAUUUUGUCUUAUUCAUUUUCCUGUACUCAACUGCACAACUUUAAUAAAACUCCUUUUCUGAUUCUGUAACUUCUUGGUUACAUAAUAGAUUGUUCUUUACAUGCUCAGUCUAUUUUCUUCAGAUAAUGAGAUAGGACUCAAAUAGUAAUUGUUUUCAAGGCAUGCAGUUACUGUAACACUAAAAAAACUCUUUCUUAGUUGGGCAAAUUACUCAUUUUCAUGCUUUUGAUUCAAA